AAUCCUGUCCACCGAAUGACUAAGGUUUCCUGGGGAAGGCUCGUCCUCCCAGGGUUAGUCGGGACCUAAGUCGAGGCCGAGAGGCGUAGACGAUGGACAACAGGUUGAUAUUCCUGUACCAGUUGAUUGUGCUUGAGUGAUGGAGUGACGCAGAAGGCUAAGCGAUCCGGACGAUUGGAAGUGUCCGGCCAAGCAGCAAGUCAGUUGAUGAGUCAAAUGCUUAUCAGCGGGUUGACAAGCUGUGAUGGGGAGCGAAAUUAUAGUAGCGAAGUCGUUGAUGUCACGCUGCCGAGAAAAGCUUCUAGCGAAUAAUCAACUGCCCGUACCGCAAACCGACACAGGUAGUCGAGGAGAGUAUCCUAAGGUGAGCGAGCGAACUCUCGUUAAGGAACUCGGCAAAAUGACCCCGUAACUUCGGGAGAAGGGGUGCUGAUCGCAAGAUCAGCCGCAGUGAAAAGGCCCAGGCGACUGUUUAUCAAAAACACAGGUUUCUGCAAAAUCGUAAGAUGAAGUAUAGGGGCUGACGCCUGCCCGGUGCUGGAAGGUUAAAAGGAAGAGUUAGCUUCGGCGAAGCCCUGAAUUGAAGCCCCAGUAAACGGCGGCCGUAACUAUAACGGUCCUAAGGUAGCGAAAUUCCUUGUCGGGUAAGUUCCGACCCGCACGAAAGGCGUAACGAUCUGGGCACUGUCUCAACGAGAGACUCGGUGAAAUUGAAUUGCCUGUGAAGAUGCAGGCUACCCGCGACAGGACGGAAAGACCCCAUGGAGCUUUACUGUAGCUUGAUAUUGAGUGCUUGUACUGCUUGUACAGGAUAGGUAGGAGCCAUAGAAGCCAGGACGCUAGUUUUGGCAGAGGCGUUGGUGGGAUACUACCCUUGCAUUAUGAUCACUCUAACCCGCACCACUGAUCGUGGUGGGAGACAGUGUCAGGUGGGCAGUUUGACUGGGGCGGUCGCCUCCCAAAAGAUAACGGAGGCGCCCAAAGGUUCGCUCAGAAUGGUUGGAAAUCAUUCGCAGAGUGUAAAGGCACAAGCGAGCUUGACUGCGAGACAGACAGGUCGAGCAGGGACGAAAGUCGGGCUUAGUGAUCCGGUGGUUCCGCAUGGAAGGGCCAUCGCUCAACGGAUAAAAGCUACCCUGGGGAUAACAGGCUUAUCUCCCCCAAGAGUCCACAUCGACGGGGAGGUUUGGCACCUCGAUGUCGGCUCAUCGCAUCCUGGGGCUGUAGUCGGUCCCAAGGGUUGGGCUGUUCGCCCAUUAAAGCGGUACGCGAGCUGGGUUCAGAACGUCGUGAGACAGUUCGGUCCCUAUCCGUCGCGGGCGUAGGAAAUUUGAGAGGACCUGUCCUUAGUACGAGAGGACCGGGAUGGACAUACCGCUGGUGUACCAGUUGUUCCGCCAGGAGCAUCGCUGGGUAGCUAUGUAUGGAUGAGAUAAACGCUGAAAGCAUCUAAGCGUGAAACUCGCCUCAAGAUGAGAUUUCCCAUUCCUUAUGGAAGUAAGACCCCUCAGAGAUGAUGAGGUAGAUAGGAUGGAAGUGGAAGUGCCGCGAGGCAUGGAGCGGACCAUUACUAAUCGGUCGAGGACUUAACCAA
rnacentral:rRNA from 1 species